rnacentral:rRNA from 1 species
GACGAACGCUGGCGGCGUGCCUAAUACAUGCAAGUAGAACGCACAGUUUAUACCGUAGCUUGCUACACCAUAGACUGUGAGUUGCGAACGGGUGAGUAACGCGUAGGUAACCUGCCUGGUAGCGGGGGAUAACUAUUGGAAACGAUAGCUAAUACCGCAUAAUAUUGAUUAUUGCAUGAUAAUUAAUUGAAAGGUGCAAUUGCACCACUACCAGAUGGACCUGCGUUGUAUUAGCUAGUAGGUGAGGUAACGGCUCACCUAGGCGACGAUACAUAGCCGACCUGAGAGGGUGAUCGGCCACACUGGGACUGGGACACGGCCCAGACUCCUACGGGAGGCAGCAGGAGGGAAUCUUCGGCAAUGGACGAAAGUCUGACCGAGCAACGCCGCGUGAGUGAAGAAGGUUUUCGGAUCGUAAAGCUCUGUUGUAAGAGAAGAACGGGUGUGAGAGUGGAAAGUUCACACUGUGACGGUAUCUUACCAGAAAGGGACGGCUAACUACGUG